UACAGAGGGUGCGAGCGUUAAUCGGAUUUACUGGGCGUAAAGCGUGUGUAGGUGGCUUCCUAAGUCGGUUGUGAAAUCCCUGGGCUCAACCUGGGAAUUGCAGUCGAUACUGGGAAGCUCGAGUUCGGUAGAGGACGGCGGAAUUCCCGGUGUAGCGGUGAAAUGCGUAGAUAUCGGGAGGAACGAUCGAUGGCGAAAGC
rnacentral:rRNA from 1 species